rnacentral:rRNA from 1 species
AUUGAACGCUGGCGGCAUGCUUUACACAUGCAAGUCGAACGGUAACAGGCCGCAAGGUGCUGACGAGUGGCGAACGGGUGAGUAAUGCAUCGGAACGUGCCCAGUCGUGGGGGAUAACGCAGCGAAAGCAGUGCUAAUACCGCAUACGAUCUAUGGAUGAAAGCGGGGGACCGCAAGGCCUCGCGCGAGUGGAGCGGCCGAUGUCAGAUUAGGUAGUUGGUGGGGUAAAGGCCUACCAAGCCGACGAUCUGUAGCUGGUCUGAGAGGACGACCAGCCACACUGGAACUGGGACACGGCCCAGACUCCUACGGGAGGCAGCAGUGGGGAAUCUUGGACAAUGGGCUCAAGCCUGAUCCAGCAAUGCCGCGUGCAGGAAGAAGGCCUUCGGGUUGUAAACUGCUUUUGUACGGAACGAAACGGCCUGGGUUAAUACCCUGGGCUAAUGACGGUACCGUAAGAAUAAGCACCGGCUAACUACGUGCCAGCCGCCGCAGUAAUAC